UGCAGUCGAGCGGACAGAAGGGAGCUUGCUCCCGGAUGUUAGCGGCGGACGGGUGAGUAACACGUGGGUAACCUGCCUGUAAGACUGGGAUAACUCCGGGAAACCGGAGCUAAUACCGGAUAGUUCCUUGAACCGCAUGGUUCAAGGAUGAAAGACGGUUUCGGCUGUCACUUACAGAUGGACCCGCGGCGCAUUAGCUAGUUGGUGAGGUAACGGCUCACCAAGGCGACGAUGCGUAGCCGACCUGAGAGGGUGAUCGGCCACACUGGGACUGAGACACGGCCCAGACUCCUACGGGAGGCAGCAGUAGGGAAUCUUCCGCAAUGGACGAAAGUCUGACGGAGCAACGCCGCGUGAGUGAUGAAGGUUUUCGGAUCGUAAAGCUCUGUUGUUAGGGAAGAACAAGUGCAAGAGUAACUGCUUGCACCUUGACGGUACCUAACCAGAAAGCCACGGCUAACUACGUGCCAGCAGCCGCGGUAAUACGUAGGUGGCAAGCGUUGUCCGGAAUUAUUGGGCGUAAAGGGCUCGCAGGCGGUUUCUUAAGUCUGAUGUGAAAGCCCCCGGCUCAACCGGGGAGGGUCAUUGGAAACUGGGAAACUUGAGUGCAGAAGAGGAGAGUGGAAUUCCACGUGUAGCGGUGAAAUGCGUAGAGAUGUGGAGGAACACCAGUGGCGAA
rnacentral:rRNA from 1 species